UGCAGUCGACGGAACGACUGAGGAGCCUUCGCCUCUCUCAGGCGUGCGAGCUGGCGGACGGGUGAGUAAUACUUAGGAAUCUGCCCAUUAGUGGGGGACAACAUUCGGAAACGGAUGCUAAUACCGCAUACGCCCUACGGGGGAAAGCGGGGGAUCUUCGGACCUCGCGCUAAUGGAUGAGCCUAAGUCGGAUUAGCUUGUUGGUGAGGUAAUGGCUCACCAAGGCGACGAUCCGUAGCUGGUCUGAGAGGACGAUCAGCCACACUGGGACUGAGACACGGCCCAUACUCCUACGGGAGGCAGCAGUGGGGAAUAUUGGACAAUGGGCGCAAGCCUGAUCCAGCAAUGCCGCGUGUGUGAAGAAGGCCUGCGGGUUGUAAAGCACUUUCAGUAGAGAAGAAAAGCCUACGGUUAAUAACCGUGAGUCUUGACGUAACCUACAGAAGAAGCACCGGCUAACUCCGUGCCAGCAGCCGCGGUAAUACGGAGGGUGCAAGCGUUAAUCGGAAUUACUGGGCGUAAAGCGCGCGUAGGCGGCUUUGUAAGUCGGAUGUGAAAGCCCUGGGCUUAACCUGGGAAUUGCAUUCGAUACUGCGCAGCUAGAGUAUGGUAGAGGGAAGUGGAAUUCCGGGUGUAGCGGUUGCAAAUGCGUAGAUAUCCGGAGGAACACCAGUGGCGAAGCCGACUUCCUGGGCCAAUACUGACGCUGAAGUGCUGAAGCGUGGGGAGCAAACAGGAUUAAAUACCCUGGUAGUCCACGCCGUAAACGAUGAGAACUAGUGCAGUCGACUGCAGUCGACUGCAGUCGACUGCAGUCGACUGCAGUCGACACGCCUGAA
rnacentral:rRNA from 1 species